UGAACAAUGAUAACAAUGAGUUCUUAGCUUUGAGAACUGAAUUCCAUAGGUUGUUAGAGGUUAGACCUAUGGUGCUUAGUUCCAUAGCUUGGAUCCCACUGGCCUCGAAAUACCAA
rnacentral:pre_miRNA from 14 species